rnacentral:rRNA from 1 species
AGAGUUUGAUCCUGGCUCAGAAUGAACGCUGGCGGCGUGCUUAACACAUGCAAGUCGUGCGCGAAGGUGGCUUCGGCUACCGGAGAGCGGCGAACGGGUGAGUAACACGUGGGUGAUCUGCCUGGAAGCGGGGGAUAACCUGGGGAAACUCGGGCUAAUACCGCAUACGUUCCUCGUGAUGCGUCAUGGGGAAGAAAACCGGCCUCUACUUGUAAGCUGGUGUUUCCAGAGGAGCCCGCGGCUGAUUAGCUAGUUGGUGAGGUAAUGGCUCACCAAGGCGACGAUCAGUAGCCGGCCUGAGAGGGUGAUCGGCCACACUGGGACUGAGACACGGCCCAGACUCCUACGGGAGGCAGCAGUGGGGAAUAUUGGACAAUGGGCGCAAGCCUGAUCCAGCAACGCCGCGUGGAGGACGAAGGCCUUCGGGUCGUAAACUCCUGUCAGGCGGGACGAAGGCGUGGGGGUAAAUAAUCCUUACGUUUGACGGUACCGUCAGAGGAAGCCCCGGCUAACUCCGUGCCAGCAGCCGCGGUAAUACGGAGGGGGCGAGCGUUAUUCGGAAUUAUUGGGCGUAAAGGGCGCGUAGGCGGCUUGGCAAGUCAAAGGUGAAAUCCCUCGGCUCAACUGAGGAACUGCCUUUGAAACUGCCUGGCUUGAGGCCGGGAGGGGGUAGCGGAAUUCCCAGUGUAGCGGUGAAAUGCGUAGAUAUUGGGAGGAACACCAGUGGCGAAGGCGGCUACCUGGACCGGUUCUGACGCUGAUGCGCGAAAGCGUGGGUAGCAAACAGGAUUAGAUACCCUGGUAGUCG